GUGGGUCAUGCCUCGUUUUCCCUUUAUUGUUUAUUAAGUGAAGUUUUCAUAAACCUUGAUCCUCGAUCAGAUAGCACUGCUUGUUUCCUAGAAAGGUUGGUGGAAUUUGCCGAAACUGAUAGGCAGAGACUCUUUGCUUGUCAUCAAUUGGGAUGUGUAAGGCUCUUGAGGAAAGAGUAUGAUGAAGCCAAACGUCUAUUUGAGGCUGCUUUUAAUGCAGGCCAUAUUUAUUCUGUUGUUGGGUUGGCUCGGUUAAGUCACAUAAAUGGUAACAAGCAAUGGUCCUAUGACAAGCUGAC
rnacentral:misc_RNA from 1 species